AAAAUUAUGUUCAGAUUUUAGUUGUGUAAAGAUUUUUGGGUUAGGACUUUUUCAUUUAUUGGUUCCUCCCUUAUUGCUACCAAUUAUUUCUACCAAAUUGUAGUUUUCUCAUGACCUCAUUCCCAAUUUUGUUACCAUGCAUGGAGUUCUUGUUUCUUAAAUCUUCCUUAUCUCAUAAGUGUUUCCUUUAGGCCUUCUUUUGAUUUAGAAAACAGGUAGUUAAUCAUUGUUUUCUUGCA
rnacentral:misc_RNA from 1 species